UACAGAGCUGGGGCAUUAUUACUUCAGGUAUGAAGCGGGUGGACUGUGCGGGGCCCCCACAGAUUCGUAUUUUACUCUUAAUGUCCCCUUACACUGCAAUUCUAUCAGCUCCAUUUGAUAGAUAACUACUACAACUCAAUGACGUCACGUGAAAAUGAUCCCCCGAAAGAACGAUAAGGUGCACUGUAGGGGUUGGUAGAUUUUGCGUCAUCAGCGCUUCACAACCCGCGAUUAGAGAAUCGAAGGAGACGUUUCCCGGCAUGCUUUGUUGCAGUUACAAUUAAGACUCAAGUGAUUGUAGUGCAGCCAGUGUUAUGUAAUAUCAUGGCAUGGUUGCUUUAGCCACACACACUAUGUAUGUGUAGUUGUAACAAGAAGGCAUGGCUGUUACUGAGGGCAGCAAAAUACUCUAUUUGCCGAUGCCGCUAUUUGGACAGAUUUCAUGCUGAUAUCAAAACGGUCUCGCGGGCCAGGAGUUUGACAUGUCUGGCAUAAAGCAUUCAACAUAAAUUCCUCAUUAUUGAAGUUGGAUCCAUUAAGUAUAUUGAUUAUCUUCAUAAUUAACACGAACAGAGCAUGGGGAUUAAACUGUAUCGAAUCGUUAACGAAAUUUAGAACGAUGAACAGCCAAGGCACGAGACACAAUAAUAUUUCUGCAAAAUCAGGUCUCUUGUUUUAGUGGAAGUGUCAUACGUUUUCUAAAUAAUGGAUCAAAAGCAAAAACAGUAACUAGUACACAAUCGAUUUUCUUGCAACUGAUAGUCCGGCACCUCCUUUAAUCCGGGUCAAUUAUGAGGGGGCCUCAUAAUCACCGUGGCCGCCAGUCUUGUUCAUUGCGCGACUGUUGGUGGUAUUUGCACUUGAUAGGGCAGUCAACCAAGAUUUCGAGAGAUCCUCUGUUUAUUAGCUUCAACUUUUAGCUGUGGCUUCCACAGGAAAGACAACAGAGAGCAUCAAAUAGAUCGUGGUGUUUUGGUACGUAAACUAUGUGACACACGCACACACACACACACACACACACACACACACACACACACACAUGUAUAAGUGGUGGCGGUGGUGGUGGGAAUUUAGUAAACGGGGCAAAAUGAGUAACUUUUGAUUUCUCGUUGUUUCCACCCCACCUGUUUGAAAUCAUUGCAUUGCAAGUAUUGCAUCAUUAUUUCGUACUCGUGCACCAUCUUUAGGGGUAAAAAUCGGUCAGCAUAGUUUGGCGUUUUGUUUGGUGUUUCUUUAUUGAAGUGUCCACACGCAUAGGUUCUUUUAUAUGGAUGUGCAAUUUCCUGGUGGUAUUCCUUAUGUAGGAUACGGCACCUUUUACUGCAGACUACUUCGUAUAUCACAUCGGCCCUCGAUCACGUUCCGAUGUCGAUGAUGGGGCAGCUGGUUUAUGUGCACCCCACGAUACUGUUUGGGGUAUUUUUCUUCAACAGGACCUUCUUUGGGGAUGGACCGGUAUGCAAUCGGUGUGCACCAUCUGCACAGAAGUGCCAAACCCAGGAUUUUAAGGUUCCCUCAGUACCACCCAACGCAACAGGGGCAAUCUCAGAAUCACGGAGGCCCUUCUUAUUAACAAAUUAAGAGCAGCCAUUAACGAUAGGAAAGAACUACGCGAAGCAGAACAGUUGCACCAAGAAUACCCGUCUGCGCAUGUCACCUUCCUCCCCCGCCCCCGCACCUGAGCAACCAUUGUUCCAACGAUUUUUUCCAGUUGUUCCGGAAGAAGAAAAAGAAUCCGAAUUCGGAAAUAUAGAAAAAUACAAGGAAGCUACUUAACCUGACCAGUUGAUAUGGCCUUCUCUCAGCAACAGGAAGCUGGUGAAUCUUGUCAGAAGUAAAUCUCGGACCUCGGCGGCGCAAGACGAAGGUUGAAAUUUUCGUUCUUCAGAAUGCUACUUGUUCGUUUCAUAGUUGUUUGAGAAGUGGAAUUCUUUGAGAGUUCUGUCAAAAUGGCCAGCUGGAAACAAGGACAAAGAAGAAAAUAAGUUGAAUGUGAAAAAAAAUUAAAAAAUCGCCCAACACCAACAACAAAAGAAAUAUAAAAUGACAAUAAAGAUUCACAUGGCUGAAUAGUUUCAGGUUCAAUCCCACAGUAUGUCUGUUCUUUGAUUGUCACCUCUAUGUUUUUAGCCCCUUGUGGGCAAUAAAGAAAUUAAAAAUAGAAAAAA